rnacentral:lncRNA from 1 species
UGAAUAGCCGCAUGGAUCCAAAAGCAGAAAAGGGCAAACAAAAGAACUUCCAACACAACACCUCCAACAAAUGCUAGGAAUUCUCAUAGGAAAACGUGAAACAAAUUGCACCCUAACCUAAUGAAAACGAAUUCUAGGAAUUCUCUUAGGAAAACAUGAAACAAAUUGCACCCUAACCUAAUGCAAAUUCAAAUAAAAAGUCAUAGAGCUAUGCUUCAAUUAUACGAUGUAGACAAAUCAAUAUGACCCACAUAAAAUUAUCUUUUACCUCUUCGACGGAAACAUAAUCAUCUACUUUUUUCAUAGAAACAUCAUCUUCUAAGUUCAUUCUUUUUGCUUUCUCUGAAUGAAAGGAGAUGAGAAUGAUGAGUUAGGGUUUAAAGGAGACAAAUCGUCUAAACAUAGCGUGAGAGUUAUCACGCCCAUACUUUUCUUUUUUCUUUUUUAUAAAAAAAAAAAGUAAUGCAAAAGGGGUAACUAAGGUCCUUAUUAGUCAUUUUACAAAUUGAUAAAUUUGUAAUUAAAAAAUUCAUAAAAAAAAGUGGGUGGAAAGAUAAGACAGUGAGGUGGAAAUAACAACUUUCUUUUUUUUUUUCCCCCAAAAAGGUGUAAAUGGUGACACGAGUUAUGGGUUCCCUUCUCAUUAAAACGAUAGGUCCCCAAAUAUUAGGAUAGAUGAGUUUUUGUUUUGGAUCAUGUUAAGGGAUCAAAUUUUUUAAACCAAAUUUACAAACUAAAUGAUGUAGUUAUUGAUGAUUAGAUUAUUACUUAAGUACUGAUUAACAUUUUUAUUUCCUAUUAGUGACACAUCAUUGAUUUGUAAAUUUGAUUAAAAACUUUGGUGUCUCAUAUCAUUACCCUUUUGUUUUUUAGGGUUGGCAGACUCCCUUCCCCUUCAAUUAAACAAAUACUAUGCAUGUUAUCUGACAAAGUAAUUAUACUAAUUUAUUAUUUUCUUCGAGUUAAUCAUGCAAAUAUCAUUAGACGUUGGUUGGUAGCUACUUAAUCAUAAGCACGUCAUCAGACUCGGACCAUUUUCUUAACACAUGUUGUUGCAUGUAUAAUAGUUUACAAAAUAUGCAGUUGGAAGAGCCUUUUCAUGGCCCGUCUCAAUCUCUUAUCCGUUCUCUCACCAUAUUUUACUGAAAAUAUAACUUUAGCCCUUAAAACUUAAUUUUCUCUACAUAAAACCCAACAUAGAUUUUUUACUUGAAUAAAACCCAUUGAUUAGAUUCCACAUCAACAAAUUCAUUAAUUAUGUUUGAUAUAUGUAACAACAAAUUCAUUGAUUAGAUUCCACAUGAACAAAUACAUGAAAAAUAAUUUACCUACAUAA